rnacentral:pre_miRNA from 1 species
AAUAGAUAACGCUGUUGACUUUUUCUCAUAUGUUUGACCAUUCGUCUUAUUCAAAAAAUUUACGUAAUAAUAAUUUAUUUUGUUAUGAGUUGUUUUAUCAUUUAUAGUAUUUUAAGUGUGAUUUAUAUCUUUUAUAUUUGCAUAAAUUUUUUAAAUAAGAUAGAUGUUCAAACAUAUGAGAAAAAAUCAACGGCGUCAUCUAUU